ACGAACGCUGGCGGCGUGCUUAACACAUGCAAGUCGAACGGAAAGGCCCUGCUUUUGUGGGGUGCUCGAGUGGCGAACGGGUGAGUAACACGUGAGUAACCUGCCCUUGACUUUGGGAUAACUUCAGGAAACUGGGGCUAAUACCGGAUAGGAGCUCCUGCCGCAUGGUGGGGGUUGGAAUGUUUCGGCGGUUGGGGAUGGACUCGCGGCUUAUCAGCUUGUUGGUGGGGUAGUGGCUUACCAAGGCUUUGACGGGUAGCCGGCCUGAGCGGGGGACCGGCCACAUUGGGACUGAGAUACGGCCCAGACUCCUACGGGAGGCAGCAGUGGGGAAUAUUGCACAAUGGGCGGAAGCCUGAUGCAGCAACGCCGCGUGCGGGAUGACGGCCUUCGGGUUGUAAACCGCUUUCGCCUGUGACGAAGCGUGAGUGACGGUAAUGGGUAAAGAAGCACCGGCUAACUACGUG
rnacentral:rRNA from 1 species